rnacentral:rRNA from 1 species
CAAGUGGUGGAGCAUGUGGUUUAAUUCGAUGAUACGCGAGGAACCUUACCUAGGCUAGAAUGCGCGUGACCGGCUCAGAGAUGAGCCUUUCCUUCGGGACACAAAGCAAGGUGCUGCAUGGCCGUCGUCAGCUCGUGCCGUGAGGUGUUGGGUUAAGUCCCGCAACGAGCGCAACCCCUAUGUUUAGUUGCCAGCAUGUAAUGAUGGGGACUCUAGACAGACUGCCUGCGCAAGCAGUGAGGAAGGCGGGGACGACGUCAGGUCAUCAUGGCCCUUACGCCUAGGGCGACACACGUGCUACAAUGGACGGUACAGCGGGUAGCUACACAGCGAUGUGAUGCCAAUCUCGAAAAGCCGUUCUCAGUUCGGAUCGGAGUCUGCAACUCGACUCCGUGAAGCUGGAAUCACUAGUAAUCGCGCAUCAGCCAUGGCGCGGUGAAUACGUUCCCGGGCCUUGUACACACC